rnacentral:rRNA from 1 species
UACGUAGGGCGCAAGCGUUGUCCGGAAUUAUUGGACGUAAAGAGCUCGUAGGUGGUUUGUCGCGUUGUUCGUGAAAACUCACAGCUCAACUGUGGGCGUGCGGGCGAUACGGGCAGACUUGAGUACUGCAGGGGAGACUGGAAUUCCUGGUGUAGCGGUGGAAUGCGCAGAUAUCAGGAGGAACACCGGUGGCGAAGGCGGGUCUCUGGGCCGAUACUGACGCUGAGGAGCGAAAGCGUGGGGAGCGAACAGG